GGGCGGCUAGCUCAGUUUGGUUAGAGCGCUGCAUUGACAUUGCAGAGGUUCACAGGUUCGAGCCCUGUGCCGCCCA
rnacentral:tRNA from 1 species